CAGAGACCCCGAGCAUUAUCCGGAUUUAUUGGGCGUAAAGAGUUCGUAGGUGGUUUCGUAAGUCAUUUGUUAAAUCUUCAGGCUUAACCUGGAGGCUGCAGGUGAUACUGCGAGGCUUGAGUAUGGGAGAGGUAAGCGGAAUGCCCGGUGUAGCGGUAAAAUGCGUUAAUAUCGGGUAGAACACCAAAGGCGAAAGCAGCUUACUGGAACAUUACUGACACUGAGGAACGAAAGCGUGGGUAGCGAAAGGGAUUAGAUACCCCUGUAGUCCACGCCGUAAACGAUGGCCACUAGAUUUUGGGAGUAUCGACCCUCCCAGAGUCGUUGAAACAAGCUAACGCGUUAAGUGGCCCGCCUGGGAAGUACGAUCGCAAGAUUA
rnacentral:rRNA from 1 species